CACAAAUUUUUUGUAUUGCAUUAAAAUUCGAACGGCCUGUCGUGCCAACUAGACGGACUCACUCGAACCCGAUUCUAGACAUGAGGAAAUAGUGCAGAGCCGAAACACUCUCGAUAUAAUACCAGUGCCGUAAAUUAUUUUUAUAUUGGUAUCUAGCAAUUUAACGUCCACAUACAAGAUUCGUCUUCCAAUCAAAAGGACAUGAAUACCCAGAAAGACUACGGCUCGCAAAAGCAUGGGACUUCGGCUGUGCCGCCUGCAGAAGUCCCAAAUGCAGCUCAAGAUAGCAAGAAUUUUAUGAACUUAAUUACGUCGAUCAGAAAACGACUGGACCACAUUCCUUCAAAAUACAAGCAAAACCCGGAAACAUUCAACUCACUGGAACAGGUCAUCAACAUCAUGAAGUCGGACAACUUCGAGCAACUAAAGAAUGAAUUGGAGUACAAUCUGCACAUAUCAGAUAAGUCAGCAAAAUCCAUUGUAAAGGCUCAAUAUCAUGGGUUCAACAAGUCCAUUAAAAACUACACGCUGGCAUCGAAUGCCAUCAACGAAACUAUCGACGCUGCCGUCAAGCUCCAUGCCGACGUUGAAAAGUGCGCUGGGCUUUUCACCAGUCGUAGUCACAGCAUCAAUACGAUCUACCUCCAGCUGAUCGAACACGUAUACGCAAUAGAAAUUUUGGACAACGUAACUUCAAUAAAUAAUGUACCAGAACGCUUUGAAGAGGCGUUCAAUUCUAAGGAGUACGUCAAGGCGGCUAGCAUUUUGGUCGAUGCCGUCGACAAGCUUUACCAAGAAGACCUCCUAAAGAUCGGCGCGCUGGCAGACCUCCAGACAGAAAUUGUUGAAAAGAAGGGUACUUUUUACAGGACUUUGAUUAAAAUGUUGAACGAUUUGAUUUAUCUGAAUUCAAUAGACGAGUUCCCAGACAUGGUAGAGCAAAAGGAUGUCGAGUCCUCGCUCGCUUUGGACUUUAGCUAUGCAGGCACGAUGGGUUCUGCCUAUUCCAAAAGUCGAAAAUCAGACCAAGAUGACAUUCAUAUUAAAUUGAACGAGAUUAUAUCAGCCAUUUUCGUAUUGAAAAAGGAAAAGCAGAGCAUAACCAGAAUUUUGGAAAGGUCGAAAGCUGAGCUGCAUAAUGCAGUAAGGAAGGCGAUUAUUUGGAUUAAGAAAAAGCACGAGGCUAGUACGGACUAUUCGCCCCAGGGGACGACCGAUUCCACCCGUUCGAAAGGCUUUUCCAAGGCAAAUCUGGAAUCAGGUAGUUUGUGUAGAGAGGUAAUCAAAGGCGUUCUUGAACUGUUUCUGAAAAUAUUGAAAAAUCACAAGAUAGUGGCAGAAAUUUUUAAAAACAAGUUACAGAACUCAGACGAAGAUGAGCCGGUCAGGUUAUCUGGCGAAUUCCAAAUGAAUGGAGAAAGGCCGGGUGCUUCAACGAGUGCGCAAGCGGACCAAAAGUUUUUCUCGUACCAGUUAGAACACGUGUGGAACUUGUUUCAAAUGGAGUUGCAGUGCUUAGUUGGGUACUAUGUUCCCGGACUGAAGAACGCAUGGAAUGCGGAUGAGAACGAAAUUGUAUACAAGAGUCAAUCGGAAAAUCAGCGUUUGUUUUCAUUUAGCAACUCGGUGGCGUUCUCUUUUUUUGGGAUUCGAGAUCCGCAAAUAUUUCACUACGACCAGAUGGACAUUGGAGAGCCCAGCAUCUAUAACAUUUUGCCGAUGUAUCCAUUGCUAGUAUCUUUCAUCGAAUCCGUGCAGCUAGUGGUCGGCAUCAAGGCGUCGGAGUAUCUGCGGUCGUGGCUUGACAACUGCAUCACAACGGUUUUGACAGAAAACAUACACAACGACUACAAAAAGAGGGCAGAGAUGACUUGCAACGAGCCGGAUUCGUUCAAGUUGAAAUACAGAAGUUUGAUGCUGAGCUAUUCGUCCGACGAGUUGAAGCGUCCCUUACUGAGCGUAGUGGUCGAAAUGUUUCGGUGCAUCUCGGAGUUAUACGACGGACUCUUUUACAUGUUUCAAUACGCCUCCCACUUUCAAAGCAUCAUACAGACAUGCCUGCAGACCCUAAAGGAGGCCAGCAAAAACAAGAUCAAGAGCAUCAUCCAUGGUACUGAGGUGGAAAGAGCACUCGAGUCCAAGGAAUUACAGGCCGUGUUGGAGAACGAUUUAUCAUGGAAGAUGACGAGCUGUCAAGAGAAGAGCGCAUCGACUCCGCCGGGCUUUCAGGUACAACAAGAUAGCUACGCGCGCAAAACGGAGAAAAGCGAUUCUCGUCUUGGUCUAGAAGACGGUCUGGACCAGCUGUCGGCUGCGGAACAAGGGGCAAAGUACGAAGAAGCACUGACAUGUUUGGAAUACGCGUGGUAUGACGGGGUGACCAAGACAGGCACGCCACUUCGGAAAGAGCACAUAAUCACGGAUCACGCGAGCUUGGCCAUGCUGGCUGCCAUGAGCGACUCGUUAUCCUGGAUUUCGGCCAAAGUACACAAUUUGAACAGUGAGGUGUAUCUGAGCAUCAGGGAGAGGUCUCUGUCUACAAUUGAAGAAAAAGGCGUUAAGAUGGAAGACUUCGAAAAGUCUCAUCUCUCCUCAACCACCGAUGAUGCAUCUGUCACCGACAGUCUGGGAUCAAACGAUUGGAAGCCCAUACGCGGAGUAGACGAUGAUUGCGUCUUGACUGAUGCGGUCAUUCAAAGGACGUCUGGUGUCAACUCGAGUCUAAUCAAAGUCUCGGAGCAAUGUUUACAAGCCAUUUACCUCAAUCUACGCAUACAGACAUGCUAUUUUCUAUAUUCCAUGAGCAGCAACUACGUUCUUCCAUACGAAGAUGUGUCGCCGGUUCCAGAAGUCAUCGAGCUAAAUAGCAACCUGACGGCUACUUUUAACGCCGUCUUUCCAUUUCUCUCCUCGGCCAACUUCAAAUACGUUUUCGGUGCUCUCCCAAAACUGAUUUCCGAUCUUUUGAUCAGCUUCUUGAAAUCGAAAAUCGAAGGUAUCAACAAGAAUGGUGCGGUCAAAAUGAUCAGGAACAUCCUAGAGCUUCAAAACUUCACGAGUAUCAUAGGCAUUUGCGACGAAUCUCUUGACAGAGCGAAGAAGUACUACGAGCUGCUCAACUUGAGCCCAUCUGAACUAUAUCAGUACAUUGAGAACCACAUACACGACCAUACCUCUUUCAAUUUGAAUCAAUACAGGACAAUACUGGAAAAUAUUUACAACAUGCAGAAUAGAGGCCAUCGCGCUCUGACUAACGAGCAGGAAAAAACUCUAAGGGAAAAAUGUGCGCCGCUGUUUGACUCAAACGUUUCUAUGACUUGAUAGCGAAUGUUUUGCGCAUAUGACAAACGUCGCACUUUUUCCACGUGGGGCAGCCAAAUUCGUCGACUGCGCCAUCCGACAGACAAUGCCAGAGGCACUCAGAAGGUGUGGGCGUCGCCCGAUAGCAGCGUGCAUCUCAAUUUGUUCAUAAAAGGUCGACUGAACGUACAAAUUUGUUCACCGGGGCCAAAACUUUCGAGAGGCUAAUUGUGUGUGUAGCAAAAACGGGUCUUUGGCACGCGUUCAUGUUACAGUCUGGAACUCUUCGUGGGAACGCGUGCAGAGCGUCCGCGUAUUAAACGCUCGCCUUUUCUGUAGGAUUGCUCUGGCCGAAGCUCUAUGGCGCUUGACAGACGGAGAGUUUAAGAAGGCCUUGAGCAGAAAUUUGUGUUAUCGCUUGUCAAAGGUGCCGGUGUACGCGCUUGUAACGGAUUUGUGCCGUCCAAUUUACGGGGUUUUGCGUUCAUCUCGCCUCUCUUUCUCUGAGGUGCAAUCAUUUUACAGCGAAGGACUGGUCUGGUCCGGUCGUCUGUAUCUGCGCAGAACUUUUGCGAGAAGUUUCAACUAUAGGAUCAAAAAAAAAGGUCACUUGACCUGUUAAAAAUUUAGUUUCGCAUCAUGAACGGGGAAAAGGUAACGUUUCCCAAUCUCAGCAAUGCGGAAAUCGUAGAUUGCCUUAGAGAUUUGGGCGUGCAGCAGCUCACCGAGUCCAAUUUGGUGAAGCCCGAGCCAGACUUUGUUCACAUUCUCUAUGAAAACGUAGUACAAAAGUUGAUAGGUUGUACUGGAGAAGACAUGGUCAAAUAUGCGUACGAAGCAUACAGCAGCCUUGAGUAUCCCCAAAUAUACGAAAACGCUAUUUAUGAGAUAAACUUCAUGAGGAAUUUGUACGUCGAGCGUGCAGCUGAAAGAGAAAACGGCUAUAUCAUGCGGCUGCCGAGGUUCGUUCUUAUAGCUAACGCCGGACCAGGUUCCGAGUCAUGCACACUGUCGGCGUGGAUUUUAAAUUAAGUGACUUGUUGGCUCCAACAUACGCACGAACUCGCAAUUUUCUAAAUGGCAUCAUCAACUUUGCAAAGUAUCGUGAAGAAAAAUUCCUAAAGUUUCAAGAACUUGACCGCGAAUCCUUUCUGCUGACCGACGAUUUUUUGCUUGCUGAAGAACGCAACUUGGAAGUUCAGGAGCAGCUUCGUGCGCUGAAAACCGAGAUUGCUGGCGAGGAAUCGGUAGCUCAAGAACUGCACAAGAAGAAGACGGACACGCAGAACAAGCUUUAUGCCUUCAACCAGCUGCAAUCUAGUCUCCGGGAGGAGAUAUCCCAACUCAAAAAGAGCACCGAAGAAAUCAGCAUUAAAGCUGAUAGUCUCAUUGCCAAGCGGACUGAACUAGAACGGGAGAAAGCACACAUCCAAUCACGGAUCUUGAAGAACCCAGAGAGCGUUAUCAAGGGUAUUGAGGAGAUUCGCGGUCACUUGGAAAAGGAGCGCAAGGCGUUAGCAGAGAGCGAAUCUAGAAGAAACGAGUAUGCCACACAGUUGUUUUCGGUUGAAAAAAAUCGCAAGGCUCUUGAAAAAUGUACCAGUUUAGUUGUAGAAAUCAAUCAAGAGUUAAGUCGCGUCGAGAGUGAAAAGAAGGAGAUCAAAGGCUACAAAGACAACAUCAAGAGUCAAGAGAAUGUUUUUCGUGAAUUAGAUGUCAACCAAGAAAAGGUUACUAGGCAACUGUCAAUGACUCAGAAGAAAGUUUUAGACCUUCAAUUGGAACAAGACUCUUCGAAAGAGAGCCGGAAGAGCGAAAUCGAUGCUGAAAGGUCGAAAAAGAUUGACGCAGAAAAAGAACGCGCCAGUUUAAUAGAAAAGCUCAAAAAACUAGACUUGGAAAUUGCAGAACUCACAGCUGAAGAAGAGAAUAUGACGAGGAUUCAUCAAGAAGAAAUGAACACCCUAAAUUCAGGAAUGUGUAACUUGAUGAAACAGUUUCAAGCAUAUCAUGCUCAGCUAAGCGAAUGUAUGAAGAAGAUAGAAGAUAACCAGCUACAAUAUGCUUCACAAAGACAGCAACAAAAUACUUCAUUUACUAUACAUCCCUAAAAAAAAAAUUUUAUGUGAGCCAUUUUUUCUUGAAUUGUUUUUACGUGACCAUCGCGAUCUGUGAUCAGUUCUACAUGCUUUCUGUAGAUACCUCUAACGCGCUUGUGCAUGGCGUUAACUAUAAGACUCGUGCAUUCGACGCACAAAAAGUUUCAAAAAACUGUUUUCUCGUCGGCACUCAAGCCCUCAAUCAAAAGAAUGAAGUUCACCUUGUAGAAGUGAACGAGGAACUUGACAACUUUUCCAGAAUUCAAAUAUAUGCACACCCUCAUGAGAUUUGGUCACUUUCUUGUUGUCCGACUGACUCAAAAAAAUUUUUUACUGUUUACAACACGGGUACGAAAAUGACAGAACCCAAAGUCUAGCUGGGGAGACCUCACACCUUAGCUGCCUCCCCCAGUUCCAGAUUUCAAAUGUUCUCUGUGGAGAACUUCUCCCAAAAACAAAUUGAGAGAGAUCGGCCAACUUUCGCGCCCAGAAUCCAAACAAAUAAAACGCGUUUUAUGGCAGCCGAGCGACCUAGACAAGGUCUGCACCAUUGACGUUGAAUCUGUUCACCUGUGGGAUGCGCAGACGCUCGAACACAUCCAAGGAACAGCCGGCAACGCUCUCGGCCAAUUUGAAGCGGGCUGCUGGACUUCCCGACUAGGAGACCAGGUGCUCGUGACCAAUAGGACAGAAAUACAGCUGUUUGAUUUUAAAAGCAAUAAGACAUCCGUUUGCAUAGAGCAUGCGCACGAAAUUUUCACAAGAGAUAUCGACGUCAAUCUAGAUAACUCUCACUACCUGAUGAGCGGAGGGGAUGACGGGAGGGUCAAAUAUUGGGAUUUAAGGAAUGUCAAAGAGCCCGUCAUGACAUACGAAAACCAUGAACAUUGGGUCACACAGGUAAGGUUCAACCCGUUUAGACCUUUUUUGGCUUUGUCUGCGGACAGCUGUGGUAUCGUUGCGCUGCACGAUUUUGGCAGUCAAUCCGAACAGAGUGGCCACGACUGUGAUAUGGUGGGAAAGUUGCGAAAUUGCCGUGUCAAACAGUACAACGACCAUGGCACCACCGUGACCGCCAUUUGUUGGGGAUCGGUCGAUAUGAACCCGUUGGUAUUUGCAUCGCUGAGCUAUGAUGGGAGGUUGGUGAUCAACCAAGCUAAAUUUGCAUAACUGUGUAGUAAAAGAGCUGUUGAUUUUAUUUUCCUUGACAGCAGAACUGAUUGUAGACACAUCACAUUCGGUCUACACGGUCGCGCCCGGUUUUUUCCCAGCCGGCGAAAGAAAUUUGACCCAUUGCAUUUCUCCCACGACUAUGACGCGAUGCCGAUACGACUCUCUUUGGUUUUUGUUAACCUUGAAUUCAGUAGUUGCCUUGCGCUGAGACGAGAGCUUGUCUUUGGUUGGUCGGCCGAGGAGUUUAGUUUGUUGGCGCGUUCUUUUCGGUUGGCCUCAAUCUGCUUCAUAUCCUCUGCAUCGCAUGUGAGUUCGAUGCGCGUGAUUUUCCUCCUGAGCAUAGCGCAGGCGUUAGGGAG